UACGUAGGGGCCGAGCGUUGUCCGGAAUUACUGGGCGUAAAGGGCGCGUAGGCGGCUUUGCAAGUCAGAUGUGAAAGCCCCGGGCUUAACUCGGGAACUGCAUCUGAAGCUGCUUAGCUUGAGUCCUGGAGGGGGUAGUGGAAUUCCCAGUGUAGCGGUGAAAUGCGUAGAUAUUGGGAGGAACACCUGCGGCGAAGGCGGCUACCUGGACAGUGACUGACGCUGAGGCGCGAAAGCUAGGGGAGCGAACGGG
rnacentral:rRNA from 1 species